AUCGGGGCUGAGGGUCCCUCAGCCUGGAUUGCAAGAGGGCGCAGGCCAGGCUGAGGGACCCCACCAGUGCACA
rnacentral:pre_miRNA from 1 species